GACGAACGCUGGCGGCGUGCUUAACACAUGCAAGUCGAACGGAAAGGCCCUGCUUUUGUGGGGUUCUCGAGUGGCGAACGGGUGAGUAACACGUGAGUAACCUGCCCUUGACUUUGGGAUAACUUCAGGAAACUGGGGCUAAUACCGGAUAGGAGCUCCUGCUGCAUGGUGUGGGUUGGAAAGUUUCGGCUGUUGGGGCUCGACUCGCGGCUUAUCAGCUUGUUGGUGGGGUAGUGGCUUACCAAGGCUUUGACGGGUAGCCGGCCUGAGAGGGUGACCGGCCACAUUGGGACUGAGAUACGGCGCAGAAUCCAACGGGAGGCAGCAGUGGGGAAUAUUGCACAAUGGGGGGAAGCCUGAUGCAGAAACGCCGCGUGCGGGAUGACGGCCUUCGGGUUGUAAACCGCUUUGGACUGUGACGAAGCGUGAGUGACGGUAAUGGGUAAAGAAGCAACGGCUAACUACGUG
rnacentral:rRNA from 1 species